rnacentral:rRNA from 1 species
GACGAACGCUGGCGGUGUGCUUAACAUAUGCAAGUCGAACGGUAAGGCCCUUUCGGGGGUACACGAGUGGCGAACGGGUGAGUAACACGUGAGUAACCUGCCCUCAUCUCUGGGAUAACAGUCGGAAACGGUUGCUAAUACCGGAUAUGAGCUUGCAAGGCAUCUUGUGGGUUGGAAAGAUUUUUUUGGUUGGGGAUGGACUCGCGGCCUAUCAGCUUGUUGGUGAGGUAGUGGCUCACCAAGGCUUCGACGGGUAGCCGGCCUGAGAGGGCGACCGGCCACAUUGGGACUGAGAUACGGCCCAAACUCCUACGGGAGGCAGCAGUGGGGAAUAUUGCACAAUGGACGGAAGUCUGAUGCAGCAACGCCGCGUGCGGGAUGACGGCCUUCGGGUUGUAAACCGCUUUCAAUUGUGACGAAGCUUUUUGUGACGGUAGCAGUAGAAGAAGCACCGGCUAACUACGUG